CACGCUUAACACAUGCAAGUCGAACGAAUGAACCGGAGCUUGCUCCGGUCAUUUAGUGGCAAACGGGUGCGUAACACGUGGGAAUCUACCUAUCAGAAUGGGACAACCUUGGGAAACUAAUGCUAAUACCGUAUACGCUCGAAAGAGGAAAGAUUUAUCGCUGAUAGAUGAGCCCGCGUCAGAUUAGGUAGUUGGUGGGGUAAUGGCCUACCAAGCCUUUGAUCUGUAGCUGGUCUGAGAGCAUGAGCAGCCACACUGGAACUGGGAGACGGUCCAGACUCCUCAGGGAGGCAGCAGUGGGGAAUAUUGGACAAUGGGCGAAAGCCUGAUCCAGCGAUGCCGCGUGAAUGAUGAAGGCCUUCGGGUUGUAAAGUUCUUUUAGUGGGGAAGAUAAUGACGGUACCCACAGAAUAAGCUCCGGCUAACUUCGUGCCAGCCGCCGCCGUAAUAC
rnacentral:rRNA from 1 species